ensembl:lncRNA
CGGGGUGGAGACCAGGAGUGAGGACUCUGAGCUCUGGGAAAACUGGAAGAAGAGGCUUCAGAGAGUCAGAUAUUACUAGGAGAAGACUUUAUGUGCCCCAUUCUUGCAUCUCUUCCUAUCUCAAAAAACACUAAACUCCUUCGUGGUGAUGUCUGCUCCUUGGGACUGGUCGUGACCUUCAGGAGAUCAGCCACAAACUUCUGUAGAAUGUGUGUGUGCUGCAGGCCCCUCCCCCUCCGCUUGAUCACAUCCUGCUGUUCCCCCUUUUCCUCCCUGGGUGGUAUUUCCGCAGGUCUGUAGCUAAGGAUGAAGAAUGUCAGGGUCAUCUGGGAAUCAGUCACCUCCAGGGGUGAGAGCAGGAGAGCGGGGCGCAGGUUGGGGUGAACACGGACCGGCGCCUCGGAGCCUGUGCGGAGGAAGAGCCCGGACAGCCGGUCCUCCAGCCUCAGCCUCCCGCCGGGCACAUGACCAGUUAAGCGCCUCCUGCUCUGCCAGCCCCUGUCCACUGCGAGAAGAUGCUCCUUCUGCUGGAAGGGAUGGAGCCCAGCAGGAAGGCACCUGGCGGGGAGCCGCAAGGAGCCCGGACAGGUCACAUCCAUCCCGGUCAAGGCUGCGGCCCCCCGGCCCCCAGGGACACGCGCCGAGGCUCCCCGCGGCCGGCGCUGCUCACCCGCAGGGUCUGAAGGGCCAGGGCAGGAAGCGGGGUUGCAACAGCAGCCCAGGGCCUGGCUGGAGGGGCUGGGGUGGCCCUGCCCUCGCCUCCACCCCGUUGGAUCGCUCCCUUCCCACGGGGCGUCUCACCCGUGUCCGCCAGGCGGCCCGUGGGGAGCGCGGUGCUGCGCAGUCUCAGGGAGGGGAGGGCGUGGGAGGAGGACAGCUCCCGGCCCAGUGUCCUCCUCCAACUUGGAAAACGGGAACCUGCUGAUGUCCAUACUCUGCAAUCCACUCAGCUUCCGGUAGGCAUCUCUUAAUCACUUAAUUGAAAUAGUUGAUCUGCAGUGUUGUGCUAGUUUCUGGUGUACAGCAAAGUGAUAAACACAUAUAUAUACAUGCACACACAGAUUCAGUAUCUUGUGAUCACCUGUAAUGGAAAAGAAUCUGAUGCCUUAAAGGUUAUUAUAAGAUACUGUGUGUGUAUAUAUAUUCUUUUUUCUGAUUCUUUUCCAUUAUGGGUGAUGACAAGAUAUUGAAUACAGCUCCAGGUGCUGUACUGUAGGCUCUUGUUGGUUAUCUUUUUUAUGUACAGUAGUUUACUAAUCUCAAACUCCUAAUUCAUCCCUUCCUUCCCCCUUUGGAGACCAUAGGUCUGUUUUUCUGUGACUGUUAGUUCGUCAUAUUUUAGAUUCUACAUAUAAGUGAUGUCAUGUCUUUCACUUAGUAUGAGAAUCUCUAGGUCCAUCCACGUUGCUGCACAUGGCAUGAUUUCAUUCCUUUUUUAUGGCUUAGUAUUCCAUUGUGUACAUGUGCCACAGCUUCCACAUGCAUUCCUCUGUCAAUAGACAUUCAGGUUGUUGCCAGGUCUUGGCUGUAGUGACUAGUGCUGCUGUGAACACUGGGGUGCAUGUAUUUUUUGAAUGGUCGUUUUUUCUGGGUAUAUGCCCAGGAGUGGGAUUGCUGGAUCAUAUGGCAACUCUGUUUAGCUUUUCGAGAAACCUCCACAGUGUUCUCCAUAGUGGUUGUACCAAUUUACAUCCCAACAGGGUGGGGGAGGCCCCCUUUUCUCCACACCCUCUCCAGCAUUUGUUAUAGCUUAAUGAUGGCUAUUCUGACAGGUGGAAGGGGGUACCUUAUUGCUGUUUGGAUUUGCAUUUCUCUGAUAAUCAGGGAUGUUGAGCAUCUUUUUGUGUGCCUGUUGGCCAUCUGUACGUUUCUGGAGAAAUGUCUGCUUAGGUCUUUGGCCCGUUUUUUGAUUGGGUUGUUUGGAA